CAUUACCGAGUGUAGGGUUCCUAGCGAGCCCAACCUCCCACCCGUGUUUACUGUACCUUAGUUGCUUCGGCGGGCCCGCCAUUCAUGGCCGCCGGGGGCUCUCAGCCCCGGGCCCGCGCCCGCCGGAGACACCACGAACUCUGUCUGAUCUAGUGAAGUCUGAGUUGAUUGUAUCGCAAUCAGUUAAAACUUUCAACAAUGGAUCUCUUGGUUCCGGCAUCGAUGAAGAACGCAGCGAAAUGCGAUAACUAGUGUGAAUUGCAGAAUUCCGUGAAUCAUCGAGUCUUUGAACGCACAUUGCGCCCCCUGGUAUUCCGGGGGGCAUGCCUGUCCGAGCGUCAUUGCUGCCCAUCAAGCACGGCUUGUGUGUUGGGUCGUCGUCCCCUCUCCGGGGGGGACGGGCCCCAAAGGCAGCGGCGGCACCGCGUCCGAUCCUCGAGCGUAUGGGGCUUUGUCACCCGCUCUGUAGGCCCGGCCGGCGCUUGCCGAACGCAAAUCAAUCUUUUUCCAGGUUGACCUCGGAUCAGGUAGGGAUACCCGCUGAACUUAAGCAUAUCA
rnacentral:rRNA from 1 species